UACCAAUACCGACAAACCGCUAGACCGAUAUAUUCAACCGCGUUAUUCUCUACGGUCUCUCUCGCCACGGCAGUACAUUCUACGAUCAUUCUGUUCGCUACUCACGAGCUUCCUAGUCCAACACUAGGCUACUUCCUAGUCUCGCGUUUUCGCGAAACAAAAAAUUCGUCCUCGUAUUGUUUUUUUCGUCGCGAGUGAUCCUUAAGGAAAAGAUCAGUGGUCCACCGGUCAAGGUGAAAAAAAGCCACCUCGUGGAUCCAUCAUACGCGAAGGUGCCGUUCGCGCCGGUGACACCGUUACUCCGUCCUUGAGGAGAUACCAGCUGCGUGAGGAACAUCGCGAGUCGCGCCGCGAAGUCGCAGUACGUUCACGUUCGUCGGGUUGCUUCCUGUCUGUGCAUAUCGCCGUGGAAGAUUCCAAACUGAGUGCAAGAGAUUCCGAUCUAUAGCAGUUUGAUUAAUCUUGGCAUCAAGGAACCCUCUGAUCGAGAUACAGAGAAAAAUCGCGUUUUUCCGCUCAGAUUUCUUCACAAGAGAUAAGUUUCGCCAGCAGACGGAUGUUGUAUGUCCGGAAGCGGCCAGAUGACAGCCACAAAAUUGACUUCUAACAUCACUUUCUUAGGAAAAAAGGAUAUCGUCUAGACGAAGGCGUCGCGAAUAUAAUUUGCAUUGUACCUCAGCAAUAGGUUAAUAUCAUGUAUUCUUGGCGAA